rnacentral:rRNA from 1 species
AACGAACGCUGGCGGCAUGCCUAACACAUGCAAGUCGAACGAUCCCUUCGGGGAUAGUGGCGCACGGGUGCGUAACGCGUGGGAACCUGCCCUUAGGUUCGGAAUAACUCAGAGAAAUUUGAGCUAAUACCGGAUAAUGUCUUCGGACCAAAGAUUUAUCGCCUUUGGAUGGGCCCGCGUUGGAUUAGCUAGUUGGUGGGGUAAAGGCCUACCAAGGCGACGAUCCAUAGCUGGUCUGAGAGGAUGAUCAGCCACACUGGGACUGAGACACGGCCCAGACUCCUACGGGAGGCAGCAGUGGGGAAUAUUGGACAAUGGGCGAAAGCCUGAUCCAGCAAUGCCGCGUGAGUGAUGAAGGCCUUAGGGUUGUAAAGCUCUUUUACCCGGGAUGAUAAUGACAGUACCGGGAGAAUAAGCCCCGGUUAACUCCGUG